GUGGGCAUGGCUCAAUGGUAGAGCAUCGGCUUGCCAAGUCGAAGGUUGUGGGUUCGAGUCCCAUUGCUCACUCCA
rnacentral:tRNA from 1 species